GAGAGACGGCAGCCUGGCGUUGGCAGGAACUUCCCAGAUGGCGAGGCGGCCUUCCUUGGCGCUCCACGUGGAUCCUCCCCGCUGGGCAUCCGAGAGCUGAGUCGGAGGCUGCGAAUUGCAGAGGGGCUGAAAUCGGGGUGCCGGGUCGGGACUCUGGACCUGGGGUUAUGGAGUCAGCUCUGGGGACGGGGAGGUCCAGGCUGUGGCCCCUUAGGCCACGUGAAGGGAGAGCCUCACAUUUGUUCACAGUGCUGAGGUGCGCAGGACGGAGCAGCCCCAGGGCGUGUUGUAUCACUUGUCCAUUGUGCCUUGUGUGUCUUUUGUGCUUCUUGUGUUGUACGUGCCUUGCCUUAUCUCUUCUGGGGGCUUACCAGAAACCCCGGCGUCACUCCUCGCAUCUCUGAUCUCUGGGCUCCUCAGCCCGACACCAUCGAAGCUUUGCCUCUGGAGCUCUCAGAGGCCUUGGAAUCGCGUCUCUCUUGAAAAGCAUCCGAUCGGAUGUCUUUUAGAGGUCUUGUUCCGAGCUGUGUCAACAGCCGUGCGCCGCGAGGAUCCAUUGUUGCGGCUUAGGUCUUGAAGAAACGCAGAGAUAGGUAGGGGGCUGUGGCCCUCAGAUUCUCGGGCAUCCGUCUUGGCAGUUGCUGGAGUUUGUCAUUCCAUCAGCAUCUUCUUCCUCCCGGGUUCUGCGAGCUUCAUCAGCUCGCCUUCAUUCUCACCCGGCUCAUCUCGUUCCGCGUUCUCUCGGUCCUUGCGGCCAUUCUUGUGGCCCAGAGUUUUGUCUCCCCGUUGUGUCCCCUCGUCUGUUGUCUUGUGUGUCACGGGUGUCUGGGUGUAGUUGUCGCGGAGCUGCUCUGUCCUGCUGCCCAGCCUGGGUGUAGGUGUAAAAGGCCGAGUCCCAGGGCCCUGUAAUUUGAAAUUUGUCAUGUAGGGUGUGGUUGGAGUCCAGAGGGUGUUCCUAGAUUGACACAAGAUGUCUGGAGCUGUGAAGUUACCCUGCAGCACUUUGACUUUUGUCUCAGCUUUCUUUCAGAUGCGGACGGAUGAAAUCGGUGGCAGAGCGCCCCAUGCAGGGUAAGGGGGUUCCCGCGAGAAGGUAAGUCAAUGUUUGUCUUUGCAGGGCAACUGGAACCGGUCACUGUGUUACAGGUCUCCUCUUUGUGUUUAUUUUUAGGAAGUAGAGCCAGCUGGCAGCAGUCAAGGCGAAGUGGGCAAGGCGGUCCAGUCGCGUUUCGCUGAGACGUCCUUGCCAACCGGCCGGCACAGCUGCUUCACCUCUCCCGUGAGCCCUGCGGAAGCGUUAUGGAACCGUGUGACGGAGCCUUUUCCACGUAAAGGGGCCGUGUGGGUGGCCUUCAGGAACGGGCCGAGGGGUUGCCGCGCCCCCUGCGACGACGGCGUCCGGCUCCCGGCGCGGCCGAAGCGUGCGGCCUCAGGACGUGGCCGUUCACAGGAGACCCUGACCGAGAGACGGCAGCCUGGCGUUGGCAGGAACUUCCCAGAUGGCGAGGCAGCCUUCCUUGGCGCUCCAUGUGGAUCCUCCCCGCCGGGCAUCCGAGAGCUGAGUCGGAGGCUGCGAAUUGCAGAGGGGCUGAAAGUCGGGUGCCGGGUCGGGACUCUGGACCUGGGAUUUUUAAGUCAGCUUUGGGGACGGGGAGGUCCAGGCUGUGGCCCCUUAGGCCACGUGAAGGGAGAGCCUCACUUUUGUUCACAGUGCUGAGGUGCGCAGGACAGAGCAGUCCCGGGGCGUGUUGUAUCACUUGUCCGUCGUGCCUUGUGUGUCUUUUGUGCUUCUUGUGUUGUACGUGCCUUGCCUUAUCUCUUCUGGGGGCUUACCAGAAACCCCGGCGUCACUCUUCGCAUCUCUGAUCUCUGGGCUCCUCAGCCCGACACCAUCGAAGCUUUGCCUCUGGAGCCCGCAGAGGCCUUGGAAUCGCGUCUCUCUUUUAAAAGCAUCCGAUCGGAUGUCUUUUAGAGGUCUUGUUCCGUGCUGUGUCGACAGCCGUGCGCCGCGAGGAUCCAUUGUUGCGGCUUAGGUCUUGAAGAAACGCAGAGAUAGGUAGGGGACUGUGGCCCUCAGAUUCUUGGGCAUCCAUCUUGGCAUUUGCUGGAGUUUGUCAUUCCAUCAGCAUCUUCUUCCUCCCGGGUUCUGCGAGCUUCAUCAGCUCGCCUUCAUUCUCACCCGGCUCAUCUCGUUCCGCGUUCUCUCGGUCCUUGCGGCCGUUCUUGUGGCCCAGAGUUUUGUCUCCCCAUUGUGUCCCCUCGUCUGUUGUCUUGUGUGUCACGGGUGUCUGGGUGUAGUUGUCCCGGAGCUGCUCUGUCCUGCUGCCCAGCCUGGGUGUAGGUGUAAAAGGCCGAGUCCCAGGCCCCUGUAAUUUGAAAUUUGUAAUGUAGGGUGAGUUGGAGUCUAGAGGGUGUUCCUAGAUGGACACAAGAUGUCAGGAGCUGUGAAGUUACCCUGCAGCACUUUGAGUUUUGUCUUAGCUUUCUAAGCAUUACAUUAUUCACUUCCCGAUGUGGGGUUCAAAAGAGUAACAAAAACCUAUACUAAUUACAUUUUAUUGGUACUUCCUGUGUGUUGGGCAAAAGGACUGUGGGAUAAAGGACUUUGUAAUGGUGUUCCUUUAGUUCAUGUCUCUCAGGGUGGAGGCCUUCAUGUAGUUCUAGUCUCUGAGCUUUUUUUGAGGUUUUAAUCUACUUGUCCAGAAAUGGAUUACUUGUAUUUAUUUCUAUUUUAUGGCUAUCUAUCUAUCUUCAUUUGUUUAUUAUAGAUGUGUAUAUUUUCAUUUCUAUAUUAUUCAUUUAAAUGCCAUGCCUGUAAGUAAA